rnacentral:lncRNA from 1 species
AAAUAUUUAAAUAAUUUUGAUUUCCCACUAAAAUGUAGUGUGACACAUGUAUGACUUUUAACAACUAUCAUAAACUCACGGGAAAAAUUCUGACAUAAAUCAAUAACAAUGAUAUAGAUGAUAGAUAUUUUGUCUGUCAUACACCCCUCUUUAUGACGGUUAUUUCGCAUCAUCUAUUGCCUUUUUUUUAUAGUGAGGAAAGCCUUAUAUAUGCUAUUGCAUAUGACUCUUAUCCUUUAUUCAUGAUAUUAAUUUAAAUGAGUACUUGCAUUAGAGAUGCCAUUCCAUUCUAUUUCAGCUCAGAUACACUAUCAAUGGCAACAAACAUUUUGUUUUGUUCGAUUUUUUCUACAUUCUCUACUACUAGAUUGAGCUUAGUUAAUUAUCUAAUUGUUUUCGUUUUGUAUCUAAUCAAGUGUAUUCAUUAAAUUUUGCAGCUCAUUCAAGUUUGGAUGACCAUCUGGCAUGUUGAUUUGGACUGAAUCAAUCAAAUUGUCACUUAAUGGGCAUUGAUUGAAUAUUAUGAUGUUAUGGAUUGUCCCCAUGAGCACUACUAUUAUUCGAAAAUUUUGCAGAUUUUAUGUCAAUUUUGUAUAACGAAUAUUGAAAUUUGAAUAUGUAUUAAAUUUUAUGUAUUUUGAUAUUUAUUGGAUUUUUCAAUUAUUAAUAUUAUAUUUUCUAUUAAUUUUAAAGUUGAAAUUUAAUUUCUAAAAAAACUUUUGCACAAUUUAGAAAUUCAUAAAAUUAUUAAUAAUAAAAAUAAUAGUAAAAUUCAAAUUAGAUAAAAAAUAAUAAUAAUCAAGUGAAAUAAUAAUGAUCAAUAUUUUUAAAUAGUAUUAAUUAAAAUAAUAUUAAUUUUCCCGCCAAAAAAUUCAAAAGAAUGUAAAAGUUUCAAAUAAUUUUAAAUUUCCCUCUAAAAUGUUGUAUGAUAGAUAUAUAAUUGUGAAAAAUCAUCAUAAAUCAUGACGGAAAAUAUUCUAUCAUAAACUAAUGACAGUGAUAUAGAUGAUGGAUAGAUUGUCUGUUAUGCCCUCCCUUUUAUGACAAUUAUUUUCUGUCGUCUAUUACCUAUUUUCUUAUAGUGUGACCUAUUGGAGAGAAUGGUUUCGUAAAAAUUAGAGCUGGCACAACUGGUCACUCGGUCAUGUUAGCUUUGUGUCAUAUCAAAUUUAACUUGACCCAAACACAACACAUUUAAUAAUCGUGUCAAAAUACUGUGAUCCUAAUGGGACAUGAAAAAUAAAUGGGUUAUCUAAUAAUCCACUUAAUAUCUAUAUACUUAACAAAAUUUACAUCAAACAUUUGCACACUAUUAUAUAAACUUGUGUGUGUGUGCUAUAAAGUAUACAUAUCUACCAAAAUAUUACACAUUUACAUUAUUAAAGUUUUAAUUGUAUAUAUGUUAAUAAUAUUAUAU